GAUGAACGCUGGCGGCGUGCCUAAUACAUGCAAGUCGAGCGAAUGGAUUGAGAGCUUGCUCUUAUGAAGUUAGCGGCGGACGGGUGAGUAACACGUGGGUAACCUGCCCAUAAGACUGGGAUAACUCCGGGAAACCGGGGCUAAUACCGGAUAACAUUUUGAACCGCAUGGUUCGAAAUUGAAAGGCGGCUUCGGCUGUCACUUAUGGAUGGACCCGCGUCGCAUUAGCUAGUUGGUGAGGUAACGGCGCACCAAGGCAACGAUGCGUAGCCGACCUGAGAGGGUGAUCGGCCACACUGAGACUGAGACACGGCCCAGACUCCUACGGGAGGCAGCAGUAGGGAAUCUUCCGCAAUGGACGAAAGUCUGACGGAGCAACGCCGCGUGAGUGAUGAAGGCUUUCGGGUCGUAAAACUCUGUUGUUAGGGAAGAACAAGUGCUAGUUGAAUAAGCUGGCACCUUGACGGUACCUAACCAGAAAGCCACGGCUAACUACGUGCCAGCCGCCGCGGUAA
rnacentral:rRNA from 1 species